rnacentral:rRNA from 1 species
AACGAACGCUGGCGGCAGGCUUAACACAUGCAAGUCGAACGCACCUUUCGGGGUGAGUGGCCGACGGGUGAGUAACGCGUGGGAAUCUACCCUUCUCUACGGGAUAGCUCCGGGAAACUGGAAUUAAUACCGUAUACGUCCUGAGGGAGAAAGAUUUAUCGGGGAAGGAUGAGCCCGCGUUGGAUUAGCUAGUUGGUGGGGUAAAGGCCUACCAAGGCGACGAUCCAUAGCUGGUCUAAGAGGAUGAUCAGCCACAUUGGGACUGAGACACGGCCCAAACUCCGACGGGAGGCAGCAGUGGGGAAUAGUGGACAAUGGGCGCAAGCCUGAUCCAGCCAUGCCGCGUGAGUGAUGAAGGCCCUAGGGUUGUAAAGCUCUUUCAGUGGGGACGAUAAUGACGGUACCCACAGAAGAAGCCCCGGCUAACUUCG